AAACGGGUGCGGAACACGUACAGAACCUUCCUUUAAGCGGGGGAUAGCCCGGAGAAAUCCGGAUUAAUACCCCAUAGUAUUGUUGGGUGGCAUCACCUGGUAAUUAAAGAUUUAUCACUUAAAGAUGGCUGUGCGGCUGAUUAGAUAGUUGGCGGGGUAACGGCCCACCAAGUCUGCGAUCAGUAACUGGUGUGAGAGCACACCAGUCACACGGGCACUGAGACACGGGCCCG
rnacentral:rRNA from 1 species